rnacentral:tRNA from 1 species
GGCGAGAUGGCCGAGCGGUCUAAGGCGCCAGACUAAGGAGACCAGCGCCUUUGAGGUGUCACCAAUCUGGUCCGAAAGGGCGUGGGUUCGAAUCCCACUCUCGUCA